CCUACGGGUGGCAGCAGUGAGGAAUCUUGGUCAAUGGGCGCGAGCCUGAACCAGCCAAGUCGCGUGAGGGAGGACGGCCCUACGGGUUGUAAACCUCUUUUGCCGGUGAGCAACGGGCGUCACGUGUGGCGCCACUGAGAGUACCCGGAGAAACAGCAUCGGCUAACUCCGUGCCAGCAGCCGCGGUAAUACGGAGGUUGCGAGCGUUAUCCGGAUUUAUGGGGUUAAAAUGGUGCGUAGGCGGAUCGUUAAGUCAGUGGUCAAGUUGAGGGGCUAAACCCCUGACCGCCAUUGAAACUGGCGCGCGUGAGUGGAAGAGAAGUAUGCGGAAUGCGUGGUGUAGCGGUGAAAUGCAUAGAUAUCACGCAGAACCCCGAUUGCGAAGGCAGCAUGCCGGCUUCCGACUGACGCUGAAGCACGAAAGCGUGGGGAUCGAACAGGAUUAGAUACCCGUGUAGUC
rnacentral:rRNA from 1 species